GAUGAAGAACGCAGCGAAAUGCGAUAAGUAAUGCGAAUUGCAGAAUCCGUGAGUCAUCGAAUCUUUGAACGCACAUUGCGCCCUCUGGUAUUCCGGAGGGCAUGCCUGUUCGAGCGUCAUUAUCACCCCUCAAGCCCGGCUUGUUGUUGGAUGCAGCGCUUAUCCCGCUCCUCCCAAAGAUAAUGACGUCGUCUGCGACGACUCCUGUACACUGAGCUUUCGGGCACGUACACGGCUAGAAGUCCAGACCCGGUCGCCGACCCCCCCGCGGGGACACCCAUUACCACAAGGUUGACCUCGGAUCAGGUAGGAAUACCCGCUGAACUUAAGCAUAUCAAUAAGCGGAGGA
rnacentral:misc_RNA from 1 species